rnacentral:rRNA from 1 species
GCUUGCAUCAUGAUUUACAUUUGAGUGAGUGGCGAACUGGUGAGUAACACGUGGGAAACCUGCCCAGAAGCGGGGGAUAACACCUGGAAACAGAUGCUAAUACCGCAUAACAACUUGGACCGCAUGGUCCGAGUUUGAAAGAUGGCUUCGGCUAUCACUUUUGGAUGGUCCCGCGGCGUAUUAGCUAGAUGGUGGGGUAACGGCUCACCAUGGCAAUGAUACGUAGCCGACCUGAGAGGGUAAUCGGCCACAUUGGGACUGAGACACGGCCCAAACUCCUACGGGAGGCAGCAGUAGGGAAUCUUCCACAAUGGACGAAAGUCUGAUGGAGCAACGCCGCGUGAGUGAAGAAGGGUUUCGGCUCGUAAAACUCUGUUGUUAAAGAAGAACAUAUCUGAGAGUAACUGUUCAGGUAUUGACGGUAUUUAACCAGAAAGCCACGGCUAACUACGUGCCAGCAGCCGCGGUAAUACGUAGGUGGCAAGCGUUGUCCGGAUUUAUUGGGCGUAAAGCGAGCGCAGGCGGUUUUUUAAGUCUGAUGUGAAAGCCUUCGGCUCAACCGAAGAAGUGCAUCGGAAACUGGGAAACUUGAGUGCAGAAGAGGACAGUGGAACUCCAUGUGUAGCGGUGAAAUGCGUAGAUAUAUGGAAGAACACCAGUGGCGAAGGCGGCUGUCUGGUCUGUAACUGACGCUGAGGCUCGAAAGUAUGGGUAGCAAACCGGGAUUAGAUA